CUACGUGGAGCCGUGCAGAAACCCUGCAGUGCGUCCACAGCAGAUAUACAUACACUCUCCAGCCAGCUAAUGUAGGCAGACACUCGGGUGAAGACAGUAGGCUUUCUCUGCACGUUGCAGCCUUGACCAGAAACGAAACUGGUGACUCCGUGGACGUAGUACUUUCCAUUGACCUGGCAGUUCAGAGGGCCUCCAGAGUCACCCUGCAGAAGAGGAGAGGAACGUGGAAAUGAAUUAUUUGUGAAAAGACUAUACCUGGCAACCCGAGAGACUUCCACCUCCAGCACACACCAUGGUAGGCUUAACAGAACCCCCCCACCAGCUGCUGCUGGAGCAGGUCUUGUGGUCCACCACAGGCAGGUAGG